ensembl:lncRNA
UAAAUUCUUAUUUUCAAUGACAGCCUAGGAACAGUGGGUUAACUGCCUGUUCAGGGGCAGAACGACAGAUUUGUACCUUGUCAGCUCGGGGGUUUGAACUUGCAACCUUCCAACGCUCUAACCACUAGGCUACCCUGCCGCCCCAGUGAUUACAGCCUCGAGUCUUCUUGGUUAUGACACUACAAGCUUGGCACACCUGUAUUUGGGGAGUUUCUCCCAUUCUUCUCAGCAGAUCCUCUCAAGCUCUGUCAGGCUGGAUGGGGAUCGUUGCGGCACAGCUAUUUUCAGGUCUCUCCAGAGGUGUUCUCUCGGGUUUAAGUCCAAGUUCUGGCUGGGCCACUCAAGGACAUUCAGAGACUUGUCCCCUAAGCCACUCCUGCGUUGUCUUGGCUGUGUGCUUAGGGUCAUUGUCCCAUUGGAAGGUGAACCUUCGCCCCAGUCUGAGGUCCUGAUCGCUCUGGAGCAGGUUUUCAUCAAGGAUCUCUGCCUCUGAAAAACGACCAACAGCAUGAUGCUGCCACCACCAUGCUUCACCGUAGGGAUGGUGCCAGGUUUUCUCCAGAUGUGAAGCUUGGCAUUCAGGCCAAAGAGUUCAAUCUUGGUUACAUCAGACCAUAGAAUCUUAUUUUUCAUGGUCUGCGUCCUUUAGGUGCCUUUUGAAAAACUCCAAGCGGGCUGUUAUGUGCCUUUUACUGAGGAGUGGCUUCUGUCUGGCCAUUCUACCAUAAAGGCCUGAUUGGUGGAGUGCUGCAGAGAAAGUUGUCCUUCUGGAAGGUUCUCCCAUCUCCACAGAGAAACUCUGGAGCUCUGUCGGAGCGACCAUCGGGUUCUUGGUCACCUCCCUGACCAAGGCCCUUCUCCCCUGAUUUCUCAGUUUGGCCGGGCAGCCAGCUCUAGGAAGAGUCUUGGUGGUUCCAAACUUCUUCCAUUUAAGAAUGAUGGGAGGCCACUGUGUUCUUGGGGACCUUGGAUGCGCAGACAUUUUUUGGUAUGCUUCCCCAGAUCCUGUGCCUCGACACAAUCCUGUAUCGGAGCUCUACAGAAAAUUCCUUAUACCUAAUGGCUUGGUUUUUGCUCUGACUCGCACUUUGAACUGUGGGACCUUAUAUAGACAGGUGUGUGCCUUUCCAAAACAUGUCCAAUCAAUUGAAUUUACCACAGGUUGGACUCCAAUCAAGUUGUAGAAACAUCUCAAGGAUGAUCAAUGGAAACAGGAUGCACCUGAGCUCAAUUCCGAGUCUCAUAGCAAAGGGUCUUAAUACUUAUGUAAAUAACAUAUUUCUGUUUUUUUUAUUUUAUAAAUUUGCACAAAAAAAACAACCCUGUUUCCACUUUGUCAUUAUAAGGUAUUGUGUGUAGAUUGAUGAGAACAUUUUUUUAUUUAAUCCAUUUUAGAAUAAGGCUGUAAUGUAAUGUGGAAAAGGUCAAGGGGUCUGACUACUUUCCGAAUGCUCUGUAUAUCUGUUUAUUUAUUACUGUUUGUUGGGGAAAAAACUUCUGGACUCUUGGCCAUUUGUCCAGUGAAAAGUGCCAGCCUAAUCCUUCCUACUGACAUGCUGCUUUAUAGCACUGUUAGCCUAACCUCUCCUACUGACAUGCUGCUUUAUAGCACUGUUAGCCUAACCCUCUCCUACUAACAUGCUGCUUUAUAGCACUGUUAGCCUAACCCUCUCCUACUAACAUGCUGCUUUAUAGCACUGUUAGCCUAACCCUCUCCUACUAACAUGCUGCUUUAUAGCACUGUUAGCCUAACCCUCUCCUACUGACACACUGCUUUAUAGCACUGUUAGCCUAACCCUCUCCUACUGACAUGCUGCUUUAUAGCACUGUUAGCCUAACCCUCUCCUACUGACACACUGCUUUAUAGCACUGUUAGCCUAACCCUCUCCUACUGACAUGCUGCUUUAUAGCACUGUUUUUUGUUGUUACCGGAUUCACAGUACCACUUAAUUUCACCUUCCAAUGAGAUCAAAAAUGAGUGCAUUUCAAGUAUUAGAUGGUAUUUUAAAGCAGUCCCGUGAGACAAUGGGCUGCAUCUGAAAAUGAAUGGAUGCAUAUUUUGCCUACAUAGUACACUGCUUUUGUUCCAGGGCCCGCCUUUUGGCCAGGGCCCGCCUUUUGGCCAGGGCCCGCCUUUUGGCCAGGACCCGCGUAGGCAUUUCAGUGGCAGACUUGUUGAAAGGGAUAAGAUUUCUCAAGGUUUGAUGAAUACCACAAAGUUAAACCUUAUCUUACAUUUUAAUUGUCUACUCAUUCAACAAUGCAAUAUGUUCUGAAAUCACCUAAUACAUCACUUAAUACACUCUGACACACACAAUCACACGUAUCACACACUAUCACACAAUCAAAAAUGAACUUCACCAAAAAAUGUUUUCUGUGAGAUGUUGUAUCCUGUUUUAGAAGAGUGUGUUUCAAAAGUGAAUCCAAACCGAAAAAUACAAUAUUGGACAUAUUAGGCAACUUAAUGACAUGCGCAUUACAUUGCCUUGCCAUAUCCAAACACUAAAUGGGUAGCAACCAUCCGGGAGCUACCAGGUGCUGAAUUUAAGACAUUAUCUUUAUCAUACAUUAUCAUUAUACCAAAUCAAUUGUACUGGUUCAUAUCUGAACAGCGUUAUCCCACAGUGAAAUCUUAAAUCUCAAAGCCUAUGCUACUUGUACCGUUCAAUAUGUGGAAAUGGGAGGAAGAUUAGAUGAUUUGCUAGUGCUGGUAGUCUAUCUGGGGAAGAAACAAUAUGUCACUCCUAGGAAGGGAAGCAACAACAAACUUGACUGCCUUAUUUCUUAUUGAUAAGUCCAAGGCCUUACACCAUCUUUACAGACAGACUGUAUAUAAUAGUAUAGUAGUACAUAGAAUCUGCACAUUCUAGAAGCGAUUCUAGAACCAAACAGAUUCUGGAUCUAGAACCAGAGCUUCACUGUUCAUAUCAAGGCAGCUGUUUAAACUCUGAUCAUGUUUUCAAUACUAUUUCUUAUGGUUCCUUUGUUUAUUUGCAGGGUCACUUAAUGCAUCCAUACUGUAUAAAACAACCCACAUUGAGUGUGCCCUUACUCAGUAUCAGUUGUAGAUGGACAGUAGUGUCGGAACAGGCAGACACACCUUUUAGUGGCCAUGGUGUGUUUCUCACAGGCUUGAAAAAAAUAUUGUCAACGUCCCAAAUAUCACCUUAUUCCCUUUAUAGUGCACUACUUUUGAUCAGGGCCCUGGUCCAAAAGUAGUGCACUACAUAGGGAAUAGGGUGCCAUUUAGCUAUGGGCCAUGGUCUAAAGUAGUGCACUACAUAGGGAAUAGGGUGCCAUUUGGGACGCAUGGUUAUAUAAAUGGUAUGGCGAUGGCUAAAUAUGUCAUUGAAGGCAACAGAGGCUGCGAAGAUAGUUGCAUAGAUUUGGUUUCUGGAGUUUGAUGAUGUCAACUUAAGAUCUAGAUACAAAACGAAUCGUGAUUGUCUUUCCCGGAGAUCCGGCCUUAUUUCCAUACCAAAGAAAAGCAGUUGUUUAAAAAUAACCGAAUUUUACGUUAGAAGUUGUAAUAUCGUAGGAGGUUGUUAUACAUGGGAUUUGUAAUCAUCCAUGCACUCCUAGAGACUUAUGUUAUCAGUGAAAAGAAACAGAUAUAACUUGUUGUACGUCCUUAAUGGCACUCUAUAUAGUGCACUUGAUUUUGACCAGGACACAUAGGACCUUGGUCUAAAGUAGUGCACUAUUUAGAGAAUAGGGUGCCAUUUGGAACACACUGUAUAAGUUUUGUUUCAUUUUGGAGGAGAGAAAAGAAAAGAGGAGAAGCUUCGAAAAUCCAUGUACAGCAUGUUGCUAAGGAAACACUGGGCCAGACAGCAUGUAAACGUAUAUGAAAUGGUGGAGGUCCUUGUUGUAACGUAUAUGAAAUGGCGAAGGUCCUUGUUGUUGCUUAGGAAACACUGGGCCAGAGAGCAUGUAAACGUAUAUGAAAUGGUGGAGGUCCUUGUUGUUGCUAAGGAAACACUGGGCCAGACAGCAUGUAACGUAUAUGAAAUGGCGGAGGUCCUUGUUGUUUGCUUAGGCAAAACUGGGCCAGACAGCAUGUUGUUGAAACCAUCACUGCUAGCCAGCCAGCUAUGUGAUUAUAAUAGGAUGAUUUGCUUGAAUUUUGGCUAUUGUUAUUGUGGUAAAAGUCAUAGUCAAAAUUAAAGCUCCAUUAACUUGUAAAUAGGGUAGAUACAUAGAAAUGUAAGGCAUCAAGAAGAAAAAAAAGACUACUAUAUUAUGGCCAUCAUUCUAGCUAAGUAAGUCUAUGUGCCAUAUAAAGGAGAAGAAAAAAAGCUAAAUGUAUAUUAGUCAAGAUAAUAGAGACUGUGUGUUGUGUGUUGCAUUUCCGGCUCCUCAAUGUAUUUGUAAAAAGUAAUGCUGUCUGUUUGGUCUCUGGUUUGCUGAUGUGUUUUGACUUUCCUUUCAAAGGUAAUUAUUAUAAUAAUAAUGAUAAUAAUAGGUCUCUGAUGUGUGCUCUGAGCGAGAACAAUAGCAUGGUUUAUUGAUAAGAAGAAAAAAAAAAACAAGAGUUAUAUGAUAUAUAUAUAUAUAUAUAUAUAUAGCUGGUUGCAAACAUUUCUGCAACAUCAUCGAUUCUAUAGACAUUGUGUUCAUGUUUUCAACAAACAAACUUUGUAGGUUCACUUUUUAUUGCACUAAAUUUCUAUGCUAUGAAACAUGGCUUUGUCACAAACCUUAUAACGGACACAUGUCACGAGGGAAUGACGAAAUGAAGGCCCGCAACAACAACAACAACAACAAACACAACAAAAAAAAAAAUAUUUUUUAUGAUCUAAGAAAGAAUUGUCAUGUAGAAAAUGACUACUGUAAUUGUCAUGUAGCAAAAAAAACAAAAAAAAAGUGCAUUAAUAAUGAUCUCAGUGAGAUUUACUCAUUCUCAUCCACGAGAAUAUAAUCUAAGCGUUAAGGAAAAAUUAAAUGUUUAAAAUGAAUUUUUUUUUUUUAAAUGUUUAAAAACCUACAUGUUUCAUUAUGUUAAAAAAUGACUGUAGUACGUAGGCGUGCACGUGUUCAUGAUUUCUAUCCUACUACUUUGAAUUGUUAGGUGCCUCCAAAAUGGCACCCUAUUCCCUAUAUAGUACACUACUUUUUACCUGGUCAGAACUGUAGUAGUGCACUAUAUAGGGAAUAGGGUGCCUUUUCGAACGCACACUUAUUAAGGUAACCACUGUCUGCUGUGGUAAGGGCUGGCUCUGUGUACCUGACUGGUAGUGCUACUGUAAUACCUGACUGGCAGUGUUACUGUAGUACCUGACUGGCAGUGUUACUGUAGUACCUGACUGACAGUGUUACUGUAAUACCUGACUGGCAGUGUUACUGUAGUACCUGACUGACAGUGUUACUGUAUACCUGACUGACAGUGUUACUGUAAUACCUGACUGACAGUGUUACUGUAAUACCUGACUGACAGUGUUACUGUAGUACCUGACUGGCAGUGUUACUGUAGUACCUGACUGGCAGUGUUACUGUAAUACCUGACUGGCAGUGUUACUGUAGUACCUGACUGGCAGUGUUACUGUAGUACCUGACUGGCAGUGUUACUGUAGUACCUGACUGGCAGUGUUACUGUAGUACCUGACUAACAGUGUUACUGUAAUACCUGACUGACAGUGUUACUGUAGUACCUGACUGGCAGUGUUACUGUAGUACCUGACUGGCAGUGUUACUGUAGUACCUGACUGGCAGUGUUACUGUAGUAUCUGACUGGCAGUGUUACUGUAGUUAACUUAAUUACAGUAAGUUACAUUAUUUUACAUUGUGGGCUGUUUACUUAAUAUAAGUUAAUAUUGUUCUGUUUGUAUGGAGCUGUUUCGUUAAUGAUGGAUUUAUGUUUUUAUUUUUACAUACUUUUUUUAAUGUAGCAUUUGUAAAGAAAUAUGUUGUUAAAAAAAAAAAUCAAGAUUUUUGGCAUUAUUACUAUAAGGCACUGAUAUUUGAAUUAAAUCUUUGAAUGAGGGAAAAUGCACCUCCAUCUUUAGAUGUACACGAGUUCCAACUAUAGAAUUAGAAUGAGUUCUAAUGAUUCUAUGGUUCCAUCAAGCAGUGACUCUACUCUGUACGUUGUGAGUUCUGACUGACCCUGAGCCAGUACCAACUCAGUUUGACUAUCCUGUUCAUUCCUACCAGUAGAAGAAGCUCCCUCCCUCUGUUGUUGUCUGGUGUAAUGUGUCAUAUGUACAGUAGCUUGUUAAUAUGGCAAAACAAAACAUUCAUGUUUCUUUUUUUUUUCAAUGGAAAGUACUCACUGGUGAGAUUUUUAAAGUGGUUUUAAAAGCCAAUAAACUUCUUUUUUUUUAAAGAAUCUU